rnacentral:lncRNA from 10 species
AAAGAAAAUUUGAAAGGGGUGAUGUUCCAACAUAUCAAGUUCAUGAAGGGACAUAAUUAUGCUGUUAUGUGAAAGAAUCAACUCUGUGUGCUCAGCAGACCAUCCAGACACAUCCUAAGCAUUGUGUCUCCGAAGUAGAUCAGUUUAGCUGUGACAUCCUAUAGCAGUAUCUCUAUUAUGUGUCCUGUUCUAUUCAUCAGCAUCUCAACCGAAAAGGGGCUGCUCAAGUGGAGUUAAAGAUCGCACCAUGCUUUUCAGAGGUGAUUGAAGUACGGAAAGUACUUACUGGAGAAAACACAGACAAACUCCUGGAGGACAUGCUCCUUGAAAAUAAGAAAGUAAAUGAAAAAAGAAGAUAUUGGGAGAGCAGAAUCAAGAGCUCCAACAAAAGACCUGCCAAAGCUAAGAAGACCAGACUCAAAGAGAUGAAGUGACUUUUUGACAUC